AUGGUCAUAAAACUAGACUUCAGCAAAGCCUUCGACACUCUCUCCUGGGAAUCUCUCCACGCUAUCCUCCACUGCCGCGGCUUCCCGCCAAAAUUCACGGCCUGGAUCCAGGAUAUCCUCUCAACAGGAAAAACGGCCGUCAUGCUCAACGGGAUCCCAGGAAACUGGAUAAACUGCAAGAACGGACUCAGACAAGGAGACCCCAUAUCACCC
rnacentral:rRNA from 1 species